UACGGAGGGGGCUAGCGUUGUUCGGAAUUACUGGGCGUAAAGCGCACGUAGGCGGCUUUGUAAGUUAGAGGUGAAAGCCCGGGGCUCAACUCCGGAAUUGCCUUUAAGACUGCAUCGCUAGAAUUGUGGAGAGGUAAGUGGAAUUCCGAGUGUAGAGGUGAAAUUCGUAGAUAUUCGGAAGAACACCAGUGGCGAAGGCGACUUCCUGGUCUGCAACUGGACGCU
rnacentral:rRNA from 1 species